ACUCUGAUUCUGGUCAGCUUGGCCGAGAAUACCAAGGCUGGAAAGCCUUGAAUCUUCAUGAUUUUUGCCAGCAAAAGCAUGACAAUGUGGGUGGGAACACUUGUCAAUUUUCCAAGCCAUUGAGUUGGCAAAACUCCAAUCCUUGUCAUGCUAGCUUAGGCUAUUAUAAAUACCAGACAUCCAGGCGUAGUAAACACUUUGGCAAUCUUCUCAUCUUCACCGAAACUAGCAAGAAAUUAUCAGCUCACUUACUACAAAAAUUGCACACAAAGCUGGCCAAGACCAAUUCGGUUGAGAGCUGGAUUUUUGCUGCACAUCUGGUGGAAUUUUUCUUGCACUUUACUGCCCUUUUAUUAAAAGGUACCAUGAGCUAUACACCUAUUUCAUUUAUAAUUCAUUCACGCAUCUUAUAUAUCUAGAAACCCCUGCUGAAAAACAAAAAAAAAAAAGAAAUCCUAUUAUAAACAUGCAUAUGAGCAGUUCGUGAUUUUCCAGCUUUGUCGUUCAAUUUCUAUGCCAAUUUUAUGAUGAUUCUUGCCUAAAUUUGGCUAUAUAUGUUUGCUAUGCAUGCUGGAAUACUAGGUGUACUUGUUUGAUUAAUAAGCUCUUGAGCAAUCAAGACUAAUUUGGAAAAAAAAAAUGGAACCAUAUGCCAUAAACUCACGGAUAAAAUAGGGGACUGAAAUCAAUUUCGGUAGAGUGACUAUAUCUUGGGCUAGAAAACUCGGAUUGGGAUGCCGUUUGUAGCGUUAGAAACUAGCUUCACAGAACUAUCUCUGGUAUAAAAAUCAGUUCCAAAUUCCUUCCCUAUAAAUACCAGUAAAUCGGCAAAGUUUGCUGUUUUUUUUUUUCGGAACCUGUUUUGCUGGACCAUUUGAGCAGCCUGUUUGCAACGACCUUUGACCCAAUUCUGAUCAGAAUUUGAACCUGAGUCCUUCAGAGAAAUUGUAUCUUCUUAAGUGCUUGUUGUGCCUACAAAAUUUCAAGUCAAACAGAGGUGUGUAGGCUGAGUUAUAGCCGAAACCCUCACUUAGCUUACAAAUUCUGGUUUGACCACGUUUUGUAGAUUAGUUUCUGACCAUGCUCAGUUCGCAUGGAUAAUGAUGAAACUGGGUGGUGAUGUCUUCAUAAGAACUGUGGAGCUCUGUUUCAGAUUCAAAACGGUAUAAAGUGCGUCCAAAUCCGAGCUUCGUAGCUCCAGUUAGAGCCAAAAUAAGAUCGUGUGUCAGAACUGCCUGGAACACUGGGCAGUUCUGACAGGUACUUUGACACCCACUUUUCGUUUGGUUCUGAGUUGAUCCAAGUCUUGGCCAAAACAUAAAAGUUUUAGCCUUAUGUCUUAUCUUUCCAAUGCCUUUGGAAUUUCUUGAUUUCGGUCUGUGAGUUGUGAGUUAUGGUUCUUCCACUAGACCCUGUCUGUCAUCUAAACGUGCGAACUCCUGGCACGUUGUUUCAUACUUAUGACCUGAUCCCGUUCAGAACUGGAUUGAAGUAUCUUCAUGAAAGUUAUAGCUUUUCUCCUUAGCUUCACGACGGUAUCUCAUACGCCUCGAUCCGACAAUCGUAACCUACAUUGUGUUCAAAACAGUUCUUGACGUCAAAACGGACAAGUUUGCGUUUCCGUUUUCCAUUUCCGCGCGCGUAUGGGUCGCAUUUGCUGUUUUCCUUAUUCGUAUGCACUUUGGAUACCUGUUUGAGCAAUAUCAUGACUCAACCUUCUGUUACAGACGGUAACGAAGUGCUCGGAGACGGUGGGGACCACUAACAGUUGAGUUUGACCAAGUGCCGUUUUUAUCUACUUUUGUACUCUAAAUAAGUAAUUGGGACGUUUAUGUGUUAUAUGUCACCAAUGUGAAUUGUGUGUGAUAUAAGGGUGCUUAGGCGAGCGUGUACUUUAUCUCACUCGACCUAAACCCUAAUUUGUAUUUGCAAUAGAUAUAAAUUAUGAUAUAUGAACUGUGUUGGGACUGAAUCCCUGAAGCAUGUGGCUUGGGAUGACCUUUUGUGUGUGUGUGAUGUGGAACUAUGAGUGGGCCCGAUCUAAAGGCUAGACGGACUAUUCGAGCCGGUUAGGGUUUGGUCGAAAUUAGUCCAAACUAUCCUUAAGAUCACCAAUUUUAUGAAUAUAAUUCGAAUACGAUUCGAAGCUCGAGCCAUUUGUGUGUGUAUGGAUACUGGCCAGAGUGGGCGUAAGGUGGUCAGAAGAAGAAAGCGGAGUUCUACGGACCAUUCCUUGUGGUCGACGGAGGGUCGACAGGUGAUCACGCGUGGCGAAUGACUUGGCUUUGGAGCCAAUCCGUAUCCUUGAAUUGUUUUGUUACUUUUGCUUUGAUUGUGAUGCAUUUGUGGCAUAAAUAUCUGACUUGAUGCAAAAUUUACCAUUUUGCCCCUGCUUGCUUACUAAACUUUAAGCUUACCCGUUUUUCUUUGUUAUUUCCUUAACAGGGGUCGUACGCGGGGAUCACAUUUCACGAGAAUUAUAACCCUAGAAUUUACCUUUGAAAUUAUACUAGUUGGACUUUCUAGGAUGUUUUCUCACAGUUAGAGUUAGGACUCUGUGUAAGAUCCACUUUGUGGUUUUAGCCUUCGCUUUUGUGUGAUGUAGUGGACUGGAAUAUCCCUUUUGAAGAUGUAUAUAUUGUAAAUGGUACUUUUGGAGAUGUAUAAAUGUGAAUAGUAUCUUUUGGUAUCAUGAUUCUUUUAUUGGACAAAUUUAUGUUUUAUACUGAUUGAAGAUGUACUUAAGAAUGAAUGUUUAGUGGUCCAAUAGUAAUGUUAUCUCUGAAAUUAAUGUGAGUGAGUGAGUCCUGACGCGAGUUAGGCAGGCGGUCCGCCAAACCCUUUGGUACGCCUCUGGGUGCGGUGGGGUCGUCACAUUACUGCUCUACCUGGUUUGAC
rnacentral:lncRNA from 1 species